UCCCUGGUGGCUCAGAUGGUAAAGAAUCUGCCUGCAAUGCAGGAAACUCGGGUUUGACUCCUGCCUCCGGAA
rnacentral:tRNA from 1 species